rnacentral:rRNA from 1 species
CAAAACAUGUCUUAUUGAAAAUAAUUUUAAGUCAAUCUGCCCAAUGAACUAUUUUAAUGGCUGCAGUAUACCUGACUGUACAAAGGUAGCAUAAUCAAUUGAUUUUUAAAUGAAAUCUGGAAUGAAAGGAUUAAUGAAAUAUAUACUGUCUCAUAUUUAUUAUAUUAAUUUAAAAUUUUAAUAAAAAUGUUAAAAUUUUUUUAUGGGACGAUAAGACCCUAUAGAAUUUUAUAUUAAUUUAUUUUUAUUGAUGAGAUAAAUUUUAUUUUAAUAUUUAAUUGGGAGAAUUGUUAAAUUUAAAUAAUUUUAAUUUUAAUAUAAACUUUAAUUUAAGAAUAAAUAAUGAUCUUAAAUUUUAAAUUAUUAGAUUAAAUUACCUUAGGGAUAACAGCGUAAUAUUUUUUUAUAGGUCAUAUAGAAAAAAGUGAUUGCGACCUCGAUGUUGAAUUAAGAUAAAUUUUAAAUGCAGGAGUUUAAUAAUUAAGUCUGUUCGACUUUUAAAAUCUUACAUGAUUUGAGUUCAAAUCGACGUAAGU